rnacentral:rRNA from 1 species
AUACGUAGGUGGCGAGCGUUGUCCGGAAUUACUGGGUGUAAAGGGCGUGUAGGCGGGGGAUCAAGUCAGAUGUGAAAUACCGUGGCUUAACUGCGGGGCUGCAUCUGAAACUGAUUUUCUUGAGUGCUGGAGAGGAAAGCGGAAUUCCUAGUGUAGCGGUGAAAUGCGUAGAUAUUAGGAGGAACACCAGUGGCGAAGGCGGCUUUCUGGACAGUAACUGACGCUGAGGCGCGAAAGCGUGGGGAGCAAACAGGAUUAGAUACCCUGGUAGUCCACGCCGUAAACGAUGGAUACUAGGUGUAGGAGGUAUCGACCCCUUCUGUGCCGGAGUUAACACAAUAAGUAUCCCACCUGGGGAGUACGGCCGCAAGGUUGAA